rnacentral:rRNA from 1 species
ACGUAGGAUCCAAGCGUUGUCCGGAUUUAUUGGGUUUAAAGGGUGCGCAGGCGGCCUGAUAAGUCAGUGGUGAAAGCCCGUUGCUUAACAACGGAAUUGCCAUUGAUACUGUCGGGCUUGAGUACAGUUGAGGUUGGCGGAAUGUAUCAUGUAGCGGUGAAAUGCUUAGAUAUGAUACAGAACACCGAUUGCGAAGGCAGCUGACUAAGCUGUUACUGACGCUCAGGCACGAAAGCGUGGGGAUCAAACAGGAUUAGAUACCCUGGUAGUCCACGCUGUAAACGUUGAUAACUCGAUGUUGGCGAUAUACAGUCAGCGUCCAAGCGAAAGCGUUAAGUUAUCCACCUGGGGAGUACGCCGGCAACGGUG